rnacentral:rRNA from 1 species
UAUGGAGGGUGCGAGCGUUAAUCGGAAUAACUGGGCGUAAAGGGCACGCAGGCGGUUGAUUGAGUCAGAUGUGAAAUCCCCGGGCUUAACCCGGGAAUUGCAUCUGAAACUGGUUGGCUAGAGUCUUGUAGAGGGGGGUAGAAUUCCAUGUGUAGCGGUGAAAUGCGUAGAGAUGUGGAGGAAUACCGGUGGCGAAGGCGGCCCCCUGGACAAAGACUGACGCUCAGGUGCGAAAGCGUGGGUAGCAAACAGG